rnacentral:rRNA from 1 species
CCCACAGGCCGUAAACCCAAGGUUUCCAGGGGAAGGUUCGUCCGCCCUGGGUUAGUCGGGACCUAAGCUGAGGCCGAAAGGCGUAGGUGAUGGACAACAGGUUGAUAUUCCUGUACUACCGAUAACCGUUUGAGAGAAGGGAUGACACAGUAGGAUAAGCUAAGCACACUGUUGGUUAUGUGUGCCCAGGCAUUGAGGCAGUCAAAGUAGGCAAAUCCGCUUUGAUAAUGCUGGGGUGUGAUGAGGAGCGAAAUUUAGUAGCGAAGUAGCUGAUUUCACACUGUCAAGCAAAGUCUAUAUCGAGGGUAAAGGUACCCGUACCGCAAACCGACACAGGUGGGUGAGGAGAGUAUCCUAAGGCCAGCGAGAGAACUGUUGUUAAGGAACUCGGCAAAAUGACCCCGUAACUUAGGGAUAAGGGGUGCCACCAUCAGGUGGCCGCAGAGAAUAGGCCCAAGCGACUGUUUACCAAAAACAUAGGUUUCUGCUAAGUCGCAAGACGAUGUAUAGGAGCUGACGCCUGCCCGGUGC